rnacentral:lncRNA from 1 species
CACAAGUCAUUUCAUUACGAGAGGGAUUUAACCACAAGCCAUUUCAUUGAGCGAGGGACAUUAACCACAAGCCUUUUCAUUGGGCGAGGAACUUUAACCACAAGCCAUUUUAUUAGGCGAGGGACUUUAACGACCCACCUAGCUCAACCGUACCCUAGGGGAUGAGUGGUACCCUAAAUUAUACCCUAGGCUUUACCUAGGUCCCAUAUACUGG